rnacentral:snRNA from 1 species
GUUGAGCCGUCACACGGA